AUUGAACGCUGGCGGCAUGCCUUACACAUGCAAGUCGAACGGUAACAGGUCUUCGGAUGCUGACGAGUGGCGAACGGGUGAGUAAUACAUCGGAACGUGCCUAGUAGUGGGGGAUAACUACUCGAAAGAGUGGCUAAUACCGCAUGAGAUCUACGGAUGAAAGCAGGGGAUCGCAAGACCUUGUGCUACUAGAGCGGCCGAUGGCAGAUUAGGUAGUUGGUGGGAUAAAAGCUUACCAAGCCGACGAUCUGUAGCUGGUCUGAGAGGACGAUCAGCCACACUGGGACGGGGACACGGCCCAGACUCCUACGGGAGGCAGCAGUGGGGAAUUUUGGACAAGGGGCGAAAGCCUGAUCCAGCAAUGCCGCGUGCAGGAUGAAGGCCUUCGGGUUGUAAACUGCUUUUGUACGGAACGAAAAGCCCCGGGUUAAUACCCUGGGGUCAUGACGGUACCGUAAGAAUAAGCACCGGCUAACUACGUGCCAGCCGCCGCCGUAA
rnacentral:rRNA from 1 species